GUUGCGGUGUCCGAGUAGUUAAGGAGUUUGACUCGAAAUCCAAUGGGCCUUUCCGCACAGGUUCGAAUCCUGUCCGUAGCG